rnacentral:pre_miRNA from 1 species
UAGCUACUCCCUCCGUUCGGAAUUACUUGUCUUGAAAAUGGAUGUAUCUAGAAUUAAAAUACGUCUAGAUACAUCCAUUUGUGCGACAAGUAAUUCCGAACGGAGGGAGUAGAUG